CGAAUUAUUAUCAUUCCAUAGGAAUGGUGGGUUUGCUGAUGUGCUUAAAAUUUAGAAACCCGCCCUUGAGGCGGGUUUU
rnacentral:sRNA from 1 species